ACGUACACUCCUACGGGAGGCAGCAGUGGGGAAUAUUGGACAAUGGGCGCAAGCCUGAUCCAGCCAUGCCGCGUGAGUGAUGAAGGCCCUAGGGUUGUAAAGCUCUUUCACCGGUGAAGAUAAUGACGGUAACCGGAGAAGAAGCCCCGGCUAACUUCGUGCCAGCAGCCGCGGUAAUACGAAGGUGGCUAGCGUUGUUCGGAUUUACUGGGCGUAAAGCGCACGUAGGCGGACUAUUAAGUCAGGGGUGAAAUCGCGGGGCUCAACCCCGGAACUGCCUUUGAUACUGGUAGUCUUGAGUUCGAGAGAGGUGAGUGGAAUUCCGAGUGUAGAGGUGAAAUUCGUAGAUAUUCGGAGGAACACCAGUGGCGAAGGCGGCUCACUGGCUCGAUACUGACGCUGAGGUGCGAAAGCGUGGGGAGCAAACAGGAUUAGAAACCCUAGUAGUCCCA
rnacentral:rRNA from 1 species